AGUAUAUUUCAAUUGUAUAUCAAUAAAGUUGAUGAAAAGUAAACAGAUUAGAAACUCAAUUUACCUCUUCAUUGACUUUAGGCUCUUUUGGUCCUCCUCUUCCUGGAGAAAAUACAUGAAUGCCUUUGACUUUUGGAAUGGGAGCAGAGUUUUGAACUACAAAGAAAAACCUAAGUUCGUAUCUUCAAAUUUUGCACCCUUUAUUCUGAUGAAAGAUAGAGGUAAUAUGAGGAGAGACCCCUUUCCAAAGUCCCCUGGACACAUGCUUAUUUCCAAUGAGGAUUCAACAAUUCACAAGCAACCAGGUGAAAAGCUGACCCCUUGGAGAAGAACUGGCCUGUUGGAGGACAGUGAGCUAAAGAGAGAGGUCCUGGGCAAGAGUGACUCUGUGAAGGAGCAAAGCCAAGAAGAUGAACUGCAGCCCCUCAAUUUCACUGGCACCAGCUCAUCCUAUCUUAGAGGCUUGAAGAGCCACACCCAAGCUGAAAGCUCAAAAUUGUGCUCAUUGGACUCAAAGGGAGACUAAUUUGAAGUUGGCUCAAAUUUCUAAUGGGAGUCUUUGUAAGCACCUUUAGCCUCAAGAGACCAGAUGCUUAUUGGAGAUUCUUUCUUCAAGUGCACACAUUAAAUCCAGAAAUAAAUUAUAAAAUUUC
rnacentral:lncRNA from 1 species